UAAGAAGAUAGUCACCUCUCCGUGAACUCCACGACCUGCGGGUCUGCGGAUGCUGGACGUUCUUUCCCGCCUGAUAGCUGCCUGACAGAAAUAUUUAGUGUGUGCCUUUUAUAUGCCAAGAAUGUGCUAAGCGAAGAGGAUAUAGCAGUAAGCAAGAUAUCAUGGUGCCUGCUCAUAUUAGAUGCUCAAUAAAUGUCACUGGAUGCUGAAAAAACUGACUUCCUAUCCUUUUCCAGUUCUCCUCGCAAGGUGGAAGAUGCCCUCACCUCAUCCCCACCCCACCCCCACCUCCA